rnacentral:rRNA from 1 species
UACGUAGGGUGCGAGCAUUGUCCGGAAUUAUUGGGCGUAAAGGGCUCGUAGGCGGUUCGUCACGUCGGGAGUGAAAACUCGGAGCUUAACUCCGAGCCUGCUUCCGAUACGGGCAGACUAGAGGUAGGCAGGGGAGAGCGGAACUCCUGGUGUAGCGGUGGAAUGCGCAGAUAUCAGGAAGAACACCGGUGGCGAAGGCGGCUCUCUGGGCCUUACCUGACGCUGAGGAGCGAAAGCGUGGGUAGCGAACAGG